AGCGAGCGGGAAGAGCUCAAAUUUAUAAUCUGGCACCUUCGGUGUCCGAGUUGUAAUCUCUAGAAAUGUUUUCCGCGUUGGACCGCACACAAGUCUGUUGGAAUACAGCGGCAUAGUGGUGAGACCCCCGUAUAUGGUGCGGACGCCCAGCGCUUUGUGAUACAUUUUCGAAGAGUCGAGUUGUUUGGGAAUGCAGCUCAAAUUGGGUGGUAAAUUCCAUCUAAAGCUAAAUAUUGGCGAGAGACCGAUAGCGAACAAGUACCGUGAGGGAAAGAUGAAAAGCACUUUGGAAAGAGAGUUAACAGUACGUGAAAUUGUUGGAAGGGAAACGCUUGAAGUCAGACUUGCUUGCCGAGCAAUCGGUUUGCAGGCCAGCAUCAGUUUUCCGGGAUGGAUAAUGGUAGAGAGAAGGUAGCAGUUUCGGCUGUGUUAUAGCUCUCUGCUGGAUACAUCUUGGGGGACUGAGGAACGCAGUGUGCCUUUGGCGGGGGUUUCGACCUCUUCACACUUAGGAUGCUGGUGGAAUGGCUUUAAACGACCCGUCU
rnacentral:rRNA from 1 species